GUGGCUUCCGGAGCUAACGCGUUAAAUCGACGCUGGGGAGUACGGCCGCAAGGUUAAAACUCAAAUGAAUUGACGGGGGCCCGCACAAGCGGUGGAGCAUGUGGUUUAAUUCGAUGCAACGCGAAGAACCUUACCUACUCUUGACAUCCAGAGAAUUUAGCAGAGAUGCUUUAGUGCCUUCGGGAACUCUGAGACAGGUGCUGCAUGGCUGUCGUCAGCUCGUGUUGUGAAAUGUUGGGUUAAGUCCCGCAACGAGCACAACCCUUAUCCUUUGUUGCCAGCACAUUAUGGUGGGAACUCAAAGGAGACUGCCGGUGAUAAACCGGAGGAAGGUGGGGAUGACGUCAAGUCAUCAUGGCCCUUACGAGUAGGGCUACACACGUGCUACAAUGGCGUAUACAAAGAGAAGCGACCUCGCGAGAGCAAGCGGAACUCAUAAAGUACGUCGUAGUCCGGAUUGGAGUCUGCAACUCGACUCCAUGAAGUCGGAAUCGCUAGUAAUCGUAGAUCAGAAUGCUACGGUGAAUACGUUCCCGGGCCUUGUACACACCGCCCGUCACACCAUGGGAGUGGGUUGCAAAAGAAGUAGGUAGCUUAACCUUCGGGAGGGCGCUUACCACUUUGUGAUUCAUGACUGGGGUGAAGUCGUAACAAGGUAACCA
rnacentral:rRNA from 1 species